rnacentral:rRNA from 1 species
AAUUACAGAAGGAAGUUUUCGGAUGGAAUUUUGUAAUUUUAGUGGCGGACGGGUGAGUAACACGUGGGUAACCUGCCCUGUACCGGGGGAUAACAGUUGGAAACGGCUGUUAAUACCGCAUAAGCGCACAGCUUCGCAUGAAGCAGUGUGAAAAACUCCGGUGGUACAGGAUGGACCCGCGUCUGAUUAGCUUGUUGGCGGGGUAACAGCCCACCAAGGCGACGAUCAGUAGCCGGCCUGAGAGGGUGAACGGCCACAUUGGGACUGAGACACGGCCCAGACUCCUACGGGAGGCAGCAGUGGGGAAUAUUGGGCAAUGGGCGAAAGCCUGACCCAGCAACGCCGCGUGAAGGAUGAAGGUCUUCGGAUUGUAAACUUCUUUGAUUGGGGAAGAAUAAAAUGACCUACCCAAAGAACAAGCCACGGCUAACUACGUGCCAGCAGCCGCGGUAAUACGUAGGGGGCAAGCGUUAUCCGGAUUUACUGGGUGUAAAGGGAGC